rnacentral:rRNA from 1 species
CCUACGGGUGGCAGCAGUGAGGAAUAUUGGUCAAUGGGCGCAAGCCUGAACCAGCCAAGUAGCGUGAAGGAUGACUGCCCUACGGGUUGUAAACUUCUUUUAUAAAGGAAUAAAAUGAGGCACGUGUGCCUUUUUGUAUGUACUUUAUGAAUAAGGAUCGGCUAACUCCGUGCCAGCAGCCGCGGUAAUACGGAGGAUCCGAGCGUUAUCCGGAUUUAUUGGGUUUAAAGGGAGCGUAGAUGGGUUGUUAAGUCAGUUGUGAAAGUUUGCGGCUCAACCGUAAAAGUGCAAUUGAUACUGGCAGUCUUGAGUACAGUUGAGGUAGGCGGAAUUCGUGGUGUAGCGGUGAAAUGCUUAGAUAUCACGAAGAAAUCCGAUUGCGAAGGCAGCGUACCAACCGGCAACUGACACUGAGGCUCGAAAGUGUGGGUAUCAAACAGGAUUAGAUACCCGGGUAGUC